GAUUAGAUACCCUGGUAGUCCACGCCGUAAACGUUGGGCGCUAGAUGUAGGGACCUUUCCACGGUUUCUGUGUCGUAGCUAACGCAUUAAGCGCCCCGCCCGGGGAGUACGGCCGCAAGGCUAAAACUCAAAGGAAUUGACGGGGGCCCGCACAAGCGGCGGAGCAUGCGGAUUAAUUCGAUGCAACGCGAAGAACCUUACCAAGGCUUGACAUACACCGGAAACGGCCAGAGAUGGUUGCCCCCUUGUGGUCGGUGUACAGGUGGUGCAUGGUUGUCGUCAGCUCGCGCCGUGAGAUGUUGGGUUAAGUCCCGCAACGAGCGCAACCCUCGUUCUAUGUUGCCAGCGCGUUAUGGCGGGGACUCAUAGGAGACUGCCGGGGUCAACUCGGAGGAAGGUGGGGAUGACGUCAAAUCAUCAUGCCCCUUAUGUCUUGGGCUUCACGCAUGCUACAAUGGCCGGUACAAAGGGCUGCGAUACCGUAAGGUGGAGCGAAUCCCAAAAAGCCGGUCUCAGUUCGGAUUGAGGUCUGCAACUCGACCUCAUGAAGUCGGAGUCGCUAGUAAUCGCAGAUCAGCAACGCUGCGGUGAAUACGUUCCCGGGCCUUGUACACACCGCCCGUCAAGUCAUGAAAGUCGGUAACACCCGAAGCCGGUGGCCUAACCCUUGUGGAAGGAGCCGUCGAAGGUGGGAUCGGUGAUUAGGACUAAGUCGUAACAAGG
rnacentral:rRNA from 1 species